rnacentral:rRNA from 1 species
GACGAACGCUGGCGGCGUGCUUAACACAUGCAAGUCGAACGGAAAGGCCCUGCUUUUGUGGGGUGCUCGAGUGGCGAACGGGUGAGUAACACGUGAGUAACCUGCCCUUGACUUUGGGAUAACUUCAGGAAACUGGGGCUAAUACCGGAUAGGAGCUCCUGCUGCAUGGUGGGGGUUGGAAAGUUUCGGCGGUUGGGGAUGGACUCGCGGCUUAUCAGAUUGUUGGUGGGGUAGUGGCUUACCAAGGCUUUGCCGGGUAGCCGGCCUGAGAGGGUGACCGGCCACAUUGGGACUGAGAUACGGCCCAGACUCCUACGGGAGGCAGCAGUGGGGAAUAUUGCACAAUGGGCGGAAGCCUGAUGCAGCAACGCCGCGUGCGGGAUGACGGCCUUCGGGUUGUAAACCGCUUUCGCCUGUGACGAAGCGUGAGUGACGGUAAUGGGUAAAGAAGCACCGGCUAACUACGUG